rnacentral:siRNA from 1 species
ACACUGUAAUGGCCGUUUUAUACC